rnacentral:rRNA from 1 species
AUGCGAUACUUGGUGUGAAUUGCAGAAUCCCGUGAACCAUCGAGUCUUUGAACGCAAGUUGCGCCCGAAGCCAUUAGGCCAAGGGCACGCCUGCCUGGGUGUCACCAA